AGUGAACGCUGGCGGUAGGCCUAAUACAUGCAAGUCGAACGGUAGCACAGUAAGAGCUUGUUCUUACGGGGGGGGGGUGGCGGAAGGGUGGGGAAUACAACGGAACCUACUUUGUCGUGGGGGAUAACGUAGGGAAACUUAAGAUAAUACAGCAGACGACGUAGGGGUAAAAGCACGGGAAAGUCGGACCUUGCGCGAUAGAAGGAGCCGAUGUGGGAUGAGAGAGUUGGCGGGGUAAAGGGGCACAAAGGGGACGCGCCGUAGCUGGUAUGUGAGGAUGAUCAGCCACACUGGAACUGGAACACGGUCCAGACUCCUACGGGAGGCAGCAGUGGGGAAUAUUGGACAAGGGGGGCAAGCCUGAUCCAGCCAUACCGCGUGGUGGAAGAAGGCCUUCGGGUUGUAAAGCCCUUUUGUUGGGAAAGAAAAGCAUCAGGGUAAUAACCCGCUGUUCUGACGGUACCCAAAGAAUAAGCACCGGCUAACUUCGUG
rnacentral:rRNA from 1 species